rnacentral:rRNA from 1 species
UGAGCAAUCUGCCCUUCUCAUCGGAAUAAGCGUUGGAAACGACGUCUAAUGCCGAAUACGACCUCCUUUCGCAUGAUCGGAGGUUGGAAAGCUCCGGCGGAGAAGGAUGAGCUCGCGGCCUAUCAGCUAGUUGGUGUGGUAAUGGCCCACAAGGCGACGACGGGUAGCCGGCCUGAGGAGGGUGACCGGCCACACUGGGACUGAGACACGGCCCACGACCCCCGUACGGGGA